GACGAACGCUGGCGGCGUGCCUAAUACAUGCAAGUCGAACGCUGAAGGAGGAGCUUGCUUCUCCGGAUGAGUUGCGAACGGGUGAGUAACGCGUAGGUAACCUGCCUGGUAGCGGGGGAUAACUAUUGGAAACGAUAGCUAAUACCGCAUAACAGUAGAUGUUGCAUGACAUUUGCUUAAAAGGUGCAAUUGCAUCACUACCAGAUGGACCUGCGUUGUAUUAGCUAGUUGGUGAGGUAACGGCUCACCAAGGCGACGAUACAUAGCCGACCUGAGAGGGUGAUCGGCCACACUGGGACUGAGACACGGCCCAGACUCCUACGGGAGGCAGCAGUAGGGAAUCUUAGGCAAUGGACGGAAGUCUGACCGAGCAACGCCGCGUGAGUGAAGAAGGGUUUCGGAUCGUAAAGCUCGGUUGUAAGAGAAGAACGAGUGUGAGAGUGGAAAGUUCACACUGUGACGGUAUCUUACCAGAAAGGGACGGCUAACUACGUG
rnacentral:rRNA from 1 species